rnacentral:ncRNA from 1 species
CGGAAUCGCUAGUAAUCGUGAAUCAGCCAUGUCACGGUGAAUACGUUCCCGGGUCUUGUACUCACCGCCCGUCACACCAUGGGAGUUGAUUUCACUCGAAGUGGAAAUACUAAACUAGUUAUCCCCCACAGUGGAAUCAGCGACUGGGGUGAAGUCGUAACAAGGUAACCGUAGGAGAACCUGCGGUUGGAUCACCUCCUUU